AAUCUACUUUAUCACAUUACAUCUGAACUCAUCAUGUUUCAUGCUAUAAGAAGUCAAUUCUCCACCUUUAAACAUGACCGAGACUCUGACAUGGAAGGUUUCUGUGAGAAGGUGACUUUUACAAGCACGUUUAAGGGUUAAGCAUGGAAAAACUACUAAAUAAAAGCCUCAGUAGACAAGACAUUUCAU